AUUGAACGCUGGCGGCAGGCCUAACACAUGCAAGUCGAACGAGUGGCGGACGGGUGAGUCAUGUCUGGGAAACUGCCCGAUGUAGGGGGAUAACUACUGGAAACGGUAGCUAAUCACGCAUACCAUCGAAUGUGCCCAGAUGGGAUUGGCUGGUAGGUGGGGUAACGGCUCACCUAGGCGAAGAGCCCUCGCUGGUCUGAGAGGAUGACCAGCCACACUGGAACUGAGACACGGUCCAGACUCCUACGGGAGGCAGCAGUGGGGAAUAUUGCACAAUGGGCGCAAGCCUGAUGCAGCCAUGCCGCGUGUAUGAAGAAGGCCUUCGGGUUGUAAAGUACUUUCAGCGAGGAGGCGUUACUCGCAGAAGAAGCACCGGCUAACUCCGUGCCAGCAGCCGCGGUAAUAC
rnacentral:rRNA from 1 species